rnacentral:siRNA from 1 species
GAUUGACGAUUUAUUGAUGUAUU